UCCCUGGUGGCUCAGACAGUAAAGCGCCUGCCUGCAAUGCUGGAGACCCAGGUUCGAUCCCUGGGUUGGGAA
rnacentral:tRNA from 1 species